UUUCCGUAGGUGUACCUGCGGAAGGAUCAUUACUGAGUGAGGGCCCCUCGGGGUCCAACCUCCCACCCGUGUUUAACGAACCUUGUUGCUUCGGCGGGCCCGCCUCACGGCCGCCGGGGGGCAUUUGCUCCCGGGCCCGCGCCCGCCGAAGCCACCUGUGAACGCUGUCUGAAGUAUGCAGUCUGAGACAAUUAUUAAAUUAAUUAAAACUUUCAACAACGGAUCUCUUGGUUCCG
rnacentral:misc_RNA from 1 species